UACCUGGUUGAUCCUGCCAGUAGUCAUAUGCUUGUCUCAAAGAUUAAGCCAUGCAAGUCUAAGUACGAGCUCUCGUACAGUGAAACUGCGAAUGGCUCAUUAAAUCAGUUAUGGUUCAUUUGAUCGUACAGUUUACUUGGAUAACUGUGGUAAUUCUAGAGCUAAUACAUGCGAGAAGCGCCGACCUCGCGGGAGGCGUGCAUUUAUCAGACCAAAAACCGGCCGCGUCUUCGGGCGCGUUCGCCUUGGUGACUCUGGAUAACUUUGCGGAUCGCACGGUCUAGCACCGGCGACGGAUCAUUCAAGUGUCUGCCCUAUCAACUUUCGUCGGUACGGUAUUUGCCUACCGAGGUUCUUACGGGUGACGGGGAAUCAGGGUUCGAUUCAGGAGAGGGAGCCUGAGAAACGGCUACCACAUCCAAGGAAGGCAGCAGGCGCGCAAAUUACCCAUUCCCGACGCGGGGAGGUAGUGACGAAAAAUAACAAUGCAGGACUCGUUCGAGGCCCUGUAAUUGGAAUGAGUACACUUUAAAAGCUUUAACGAGUAUCCAUUGGAGGGCAAGUCUGGUGCCAGCAGCCGCGGUAAUUCCAGCUCCAAAAGUAUAUAUUUAAGUUGUUGCGGUUAAAAAGCUCGUAGUUGGAUUUUGGGCGCAGGCGGCCGGUCCGUCGCAAGGCGUGUACUGGACGUCCUGGCCUUCCCUCCGGUUCUCCGCCGGUGCUCUUGACUGAGUGUCGGCGGCGGCCGGAACGUUUACUUUGAAAAAAUUAGAGUGUUCAAAGCAGGCUCUCGAGCCUGGAUAAUGGUGCAUGGAAUAAUGGAAUAGGACCUCGGUUCUAUUUUGUUGGUUUUCGGAGCGCGAGGUAAUGAUUAAGAGGGACAGACGGGGGCAUUCGUACUGUGCCGUUAGAGGUGAAAUUCUUGGAUCGGCGCAAGACGAACGACUGCGAAAGCAUUUGCCAAGAAGUUUUCUUUAAUCAAGAGCGAAAGUCAGAGG
rnacentral:ncRNA from 1 species